rnacentral:rRNA from 1 species
CCUACGGGUGGCUGCAGUGGGGAAUAUUGCACAAUGGGGGAAACCCUGACGCAGCGACGCCGCGUGAAGGAAGAAGGUUUUCGGAUCGUAAACUUCUUUGACUGGGGACGAAAAGAUGACGGUACCCAGGGAACAAGCCACGGCUAACUACGUGCCAGCAGCCGCGGUAAUACGUAGGUGGCGAGCGUUGUCCGGAAUUACUGGGUGUAAAGGGCGUGUAGGCGGGGGAGCAAGUCAGGUGUGAAAGCCCAAGGCUUAACUUUGGGACUGCAUCUGAAACUGUUUUUCUUGAGUACUGGAGAGGGAAGCGGAAUUCCUAGUGUAGCGGUGAAAUGCGUAGAGAUUAGGAGGAACACCAGUGGCGAGGGCGGCUUCCUGGACAGAGACUGACGCUGAGGCGCGAAAGCGUGGGGAGCGAACAGGAUUAGAUACCCGAGU